CAGGCUUAACACAUGCAAGUCGAGGGGCAUCAGGAAGAAAGCUUGCUUUCUUUGCUGGCGACCGGCGCACGGGUGAGUAACACGUAUCCAACCUGCCCUUUACUCGGGGAUAGCCUUUCGAAAGAAAGAUUAAUACCCGAUAGCAUAAUGAUUCCGCAUGGUUUCAUUAUUAAAGGAUUCCGGUAAAGGAUGGGGAUGCGUUCCAUUAGGUUGUUGGUGAGGUAACGGCUCACCAAGCCUUCGAUGGAUAGGGGUUCUGAGAGGAAGGUCCCCCACAUUGGAACUGAGACACGGUCCAAACUCCUACGGGAGGCAGCAGUGAGGAAUAUUGGUCAAUGGGCGCUAGCCUGAACCAGCCAAGUAGCGUGAAGGAUGAAGGCUCUAUGGGUCGUAAACUUCUUUUAUAUAAGAAUAAAGUGCAGUAUGUAUACUGUUUUGUAUGUAUUAUAUGAAUAAGGAUCGGCUAACUCCGUGCCAGCAGCCGCGGUAAUACGGAGGAUCCGAGCGUUAUCCGGAUUUAUUGGGUUUAAAGGGAGCGUAGGUGGACUGGUAAGUCAGUUGUGAAAGUUUGCGGCUCAACCGUAAAAUUGCAGUUGAUACUGUCAGUCUUGAGUACAGUAGAGGUGGGCGGAAUUCGUGGUGUAGCGGUGAAAUGCUUAGAUAUCACGAAGAACUCCGAUUGCGAAGGCAGCUCACUGGACUGCAACUGACACUGAUGCUCGAAAGUGUGGGUAUCAAACAGGAUUAGAUACCCUGGUAGUCCACACAGUAAACGAUGAAUACUCGCUGUUUGCGAUAUACAGUAAGCGGCCAAGCGAAAGCAUUAAGUAUUCCACCUGGGGAGUGCGCCGGCAACGGUGAAACUCAAAGGAAUUGACGGGGGCCCGCACAAGCGGAGGAACAUGUGGUUUAAUUCGAUGAUACGCGAGGAACCUUACCCGGGCUUAAAUUGCAGUGGAAUGAUGUGGAAACAUGUCAGUGAGCAAUCACCGCUGUGAAGGUGCUGCAUGGUUGUCGUCAGCUCGUGCCGUGAGGUGUCGGCUUAAGUGCCAUAACGAGCGCAACCCUUAUCUUUAGUUACUAACAGGUCAUGCUGAGGACUCUAGAGAGACUGCCGUCGUAAGAUGUGAGGAAGGUGGGGAUGACGUCAAAUCAGCACGGCCCUUACGUCCGGGGCUACACACGUGUUACAAUGGGGGGUACAGAAGGCAGCUAGCGGGUGACCGUAUGCUAAUCCCAAAAGCCUCUCUCAGUUCGGAUCGAAGUCUGCAACCCGACUUCGUGAAGCUGGAUUCGCUAGUAAUCGCGCAUCAGCCACGGCGCGGUGAAUACGUUCCCGGGCCUUGUACACACCGCCCGUCAAGCCAUGGGAGCCGGGGGUACCUGAAGUACGUAACAGCAAGGAUCGUCCUAGGGUAAAACUGGUGACU
rnacentral:rRNA from 1 species